UUCAGUCAAAAGUUGCAUGACCCUCUUGUAGCCAGUUGCAUUCUCGCUCUGUCGGUCUCCUCCUGCUUACCUUACACACUGGUCUCUAACGAAGGGGGCGGGGCAGGCAUGUAGCUAGCCAUUCAUUCAGAUCCUGGUAUUAGGCCAUGGUAUAAAGGUGCCUAGUAGGUCGGACUGUCUUCCUCUCUGUCUCUCGCUCGGUUUGUCCCUGGGUUUCACGCAGGAGCCAAUCGCCAGCUCUGCGUCUCCCUUACUCUGCCGUGGCUGUAUGGAACCUGACCUGUCUAGCAUUAGAUAACUCUCCCCUGCAGCUUAUGACGAUGGCACGGCGUGUGUUUUAAGCGUUCUUUAGGCCUACUGGCUAAUCAGUGACUGCAAGUGUUUGGUAUGUAUGAAACCGGAAUGUUGUAGCUUUUGGUGUGGCAUUUGAGACACUGAUACACUCUAAGUGUUGACUAUUUAUGUUACAGGUAGCAUGGCUUCGUCAAGUUUGCUUGUUUAGUGUGGUCACGCUGCUGUCUUGUCCAUAGCAUUAGUUUUCAUUUAUUUUUGUGUUUACGUCGUCACAGCUCCUCCGUGUCGCGGUAGCUGACCUGUUUGUGUUGCUCUUUGCUUGAUUGGGAUUUCCCAGGCGGGUUUGUUUUGUUUGUUUGUUUUUGUUUGCUGGUCUAUUGUGCUUUUGCCUUAGUGUGUGUGUGUGUGUGUGUGUGUGUGUGUGUGAUCGUGUUUUCUGAGUUUGUAGUGUGUCUGCAUGCCUAGUUUUUAUCCCAGCGAGGAUUAUUUCCCUGGCUCAAAAGCUUUACAUCUCUAAUUGGUAUAACCUACAUGCUGGUGUUUGUGGUUGCUGUGCUCCUUUUUGGAUCAGUUUAUGCGUUGGCAGGUUGCAGUUAUCUUCGGCGGGGGGUAGCUAGUCACCUGGUGGCGGGCUUGUGAACUUCACUUUGGAGUGUACUAUGGAAUAUCGGUGGUGGCUUGCUGUGACAAUG